rnacentral:rRNA from 1 species
CGUAGGGUGCGAGCGUUAAUCGGAAUUACUGGGCGUAAAGCGUGCGCAGGCGGCGCCGCAAGUCGAGUGUGAAAUCCCCGAGCUUAACUUGGGAAUUGCGCUCGAAACUACGGGGCUGGAGUGUGGCAGAGGGAGGUGGAAUUCCACGUGUAGCGGUGAAAUGCGUAGAGAUGUGGAGGAACACCGAUGGCGAAGGCAGCCUCCUGGGCCAACACUGACGCUCAUGCACGAAAGCGUGGGGAGCAAACAGGAUUAGAUACCCUGGUAGUCCACGCCCUAAACGAUGAUGACUAGUUGUUGGGGGAGUUAAAUCCCUUAGUAACGCAGCUAACGCGUGAAGUCAUCCGCCUGGGGAGUACGGUCGCAAGAUUA